UGCCAGCUGGUGUCUGAGCAUCUUUGCUAGGAGGGCUGUUAGUCUACUCUUUACUAAGGAUUUAUUUGGACAGAAAUCAACACAGUGGGGACAAUCAGGUAGUUUGGACUACAGUGCAACUUUGAGAUCUCAGCUGAUACAACAAUGUGGGCAGAGCUGAAGAUACCAGUAUCUCAGCUAGCAAAGCACAAAUGGAGAACGUAACUAUGAAAGAGCUUCUUGAGGACAAAUUGAUAGCAUAUCAAAUUGAUAGCAGGUGUCCAGAGAAUGCCUAGAUUUUAUCACCUGAAAUACAAAGAUCCAAAGAAAAUCAGAGACUGCAUCAUCCUGCAGAAUAUUGCUUCACACCUUUUUUUUUUUUUCUGCUGUGGCAAAAGUAUAAUAUUGGCAUCCUGGAGGAGAAAUGCUUGAAUUCUAUGCUACGGAGAAAAGGAGAAGAUCAAGAGAAAAAAAGGAACUUAAAAGAAGAAAGAAAACAGACACAAAGAUCUUUCUGGAGCAGCGUUUGAACCAAGAGUAGGAAUCAGAGUCUCCCCCAUCCUCAGUUUGCACAUGCAAAACCAAGAAGACUCUUUGCUCCAAACACUGAGAAACGUUUGGAAGAACCGGCAUUUCCUUGGACGAGCCUGUGACCAGAAAGAGAUGACAAGAAUGUUGUGUAUCAAAGGAAGUGAAAAAAUGAGGCAACUCAUUUCAUUGUAAAAGGCUUCUUCCCAACACUAUUAUGCCUGGAAUAGUAGAAUGUCUUUGUGAUACUAGCUGGAACUACUAUGAGGUAAUUAUAUGUAGUUACAUAAAACAGCUUAAUGCUAGCCCAGCAAAUUGUCUAAAAGAAGAGAAGGUAUUAUUGUUAAAUGUUUUGUCAUGAUGACCAUGCCCUUUAUUUAUCUCUAACACAACAUGCUUAUUCUGCCCCAUCUACUGUUUUCACCCUGCAAAUUUAUGAGGCUCUAUUAAUCUUCUGCCCUGCUGACUCUCUCUGUUGCAAAGUGUCAGCAGACUUUUGUACCUUGCUAAUGUACAAAGUGCUUCCUAUGAGUAAUAUCAGCAUUUUGCCUUUUAAUUGCACAUAUAAUUUUUAGGUCUUACAGCUAAUAAGGGAAUUGAGACCACAGUUCAUCAUUGUCUUGAAUGGUACUCCAGGGGUGUAGGGACUGUAGAAGCUCAGAGAAGAAUAUACUUGUCCUCGUUCCAAGCAGUAGUUUCUCUCAUUAUAGCAGCUCCAUUCACACCAGUACAGUUACAGGUCUGCCAGUAUUUCCAUUAUAAGCCCAAGUUUUGGGGAUUUCAAAACUGUUGUAAAAAUAUAUAAAACAUAGGAUAUGUUCUUUUGUCUUAGAUUUUUAUUUGCAUUAUUACUAUGCAUUUUUGUAUUAUUGUUGUUAUUAUUGUUUUGAUUACUAUUAUUAUUACAACUUUCUAUAGAAGUUGAUUUUUACUAUUUUAAAGACCUCAUUACUUGCAGGGGAGAAAACGUUUUGUAUCAAACUGAAAACUGGAAUUCCUCGUACUUGAACUAGGUUGUGAGUUUGUUCAUUGCUUGUUCCAUCUUUUCCAAUGAAAACCAAACGAUGCACAGUAGUUUUAUGCUAACAAACUUUAACAAGGAUGUUUCCCCUCAUUUUGAAAUUGAUAUUUCUGAGGAGUAUUCUUAUUGUUGAACCAAUUGGAGAGAAAAGUAUCAAUUUGCCUUCCUUCUUUUUCUAUAGUAGUAGUUAGUUAAAGAGAAGAUCUCAUGUAUCACAUGCCGGAGAGUUUGAAAAACAUGUGCCAAAUUGUGCAAUUAAGUGCUUCUCUCAAAAGCACGUAAAGUAAUAAAAAAUAAACAGAUUGACUACUGGAAUAUCAUGCCAUGGGAGCUGCUUGUAAGCAAAUGACAGGCUGUUCUUAACUAUCAGGCACUAUUUUAUUGUAGAAAAUUCCACAGAAGAAUCAAAGGUGUGGUAUAUUUUUGAGAUCCUGCUAGGAAUGUUGCUAACCAAGACACCACUUCGAACUCCUGGGCAUAAUGGAGGAAGUGUGGGAGGUAAAAACAAGGGCCUGUGGCUACACGGCCUCCAAGGGCACUUUUGCAUGAGAGAGUGAGAAGAUUUGGUAUGCCUUCAGAAGGCUCACGCUAUGCAGAUCCGCUGCUUUUUUUUAUUUCCUCUGUCUCUGAACACUCAGGAUUCCUGGGUGUGAUGACACUCCAGAACAUCUCAUGUCUUUCCCCUGGUUUUCUCACAAUUGCCCCACAGUUUGUCAACAUCUGCAUCAUAUUGGCUAUUUAUCUGAAGAUUUUUUAGCAUUUGAUUGUUAUAUCAUCUCCAGUUCUGGUAUUGUUGUUACAAAGUGAUGUAUUAUUCAUGCAAUCGAGGGCUCGGUUUUCAAACUUGUGGACUUCAUACCAUAUUACUAUCAUAAAUAUUGAUUUCAAGGCACCCAUAAGCAUUUUUAGUCCUUCACUGAAAACAUAAAAAAAGACAUCUGUACUCUGUGGAGCAUAAAAUCAAAGGUUAUAUACACAUGGCACAGUGGGAUGCCAAUCUAGAGAUCCCACAUAGAUGUCCAGACACACAGUAGGCAUUUGCGCAGAUAUGUGCCAGGACCCACAAGCUGUGUAGCUGCAUCUCCACACAUUUUGUGCUUUAGACUAAGUAACUGUCUCUCUUAAUGAGUUUGGACCCUUUGCUGCACUUAUACAACUACAUUGCUUCGUUUUCUGGGGUCAGAUCAGUGGAUAGUGGCAGCGCACUGGCAGAUGGCUUUUAUCGACAAGUCAGAUUAUAAUAAUACCAAAAAAGAAGAGGAACAAAGGCCAUGGUUUACAUAAUCCUGGCACUAAUUUUGAGCAUUCAAGUGGUUUUGUCCUCUUAUGAAAGCCCACUCUUUUUUGUUUAUUAUGAGAUGAACAGUAAAACCUGAAUUCACUGGAUGCAAGGUGAGAAAGGAAAGGAGGGUCCAAACAGGCUCUGAGUGAGCAUUCACAACUUCUUCAUAAACUGGAUCCUCACUCUGGCUUCCUGACUUCUUGUUUUCUUUGGUGGAAAUAUUGCCCCAGUUUCAACUGAACAUAGCCUUGCUGUAACCACUGUAACCAUAUUUCUGAGGAAAGGAUUCCAAUUAAAUUAUUUCAAGCCAGGUUUCUCACCUGAGUUAAGAAUGAUGUUGCCACUAUAUAUCAAUGACUCACGUAGUGUCUGGAAAACCAUUGCAAAAGCCUUAAGGGAAGUAUUUGUGUGUACAUGCAUACAUAAAUAUAUAUAAAAUAACUGUGUAUAUUUAUAAAAAGGACAAAGAAUAAAUACCUUUUAAAAGACCCAUAUAUUAGUGACAAGAAGGUUCACUAUACACUCUUAUCUCAGCACUACAGUAAACACACCAACCCUUUCUCCAGUAUUCGAAACAUCUCCUGAAGUGUGCAGCCAGAUUACAGGCCUUACACUUUCCAUUAUCCCCUAUUUUAAUUUAAAACAGUACUGCAACAAUUCCUAAUAAAACACCUACUAGUCAUAGCAGGAAUAAACCUAGAAAUUGGCCUUUAGUAGAUUUCAAUGAAAACAGAGUACCAUAGAGACUUCUAAAAAGAUUUUUACGCAAAAACUAGUGUCAUAAAGAUGUAAGUGAUUGUUCACAGUAUAAAACGUUGAUGAAAUACAGACAUUUCCAUUAGCCUUUCUAAAAAGAUUACCCAAAUGUUCAUCAGUGCAUUUUCUUUUCUUUGAAUUGCCUUUAUAGUUUUCCUUCUUAUUAUUUUACUAUUAAACAAUUUGAAAUG